AACUCUUCAACUCUUUUCUAGAUGAAGAUUCUCCAUGUACAUCCCACAAAUCAAGUUAGGAAAAAUAUGUUGGUAAAACAUGGCAGUCUGAGGCGCUUUAAGGCCCUCUCUCAUGCCUAGAUGGGUCCGCCGUCUGUCAUUAAUAUGAUGCAAUUGCAGUUCAUAUCUUCACCAACAGAAAGUAUAUGAAGCCGUAUAUGCAUAGAUAGCGGAUGUCAAGUUGUUAAGCUUUUAAGCUUUGGGAAAAUGACGUUCGAAGUUUUCAUAGCUGUGCACCUUUGCGUCUGUACAGCUAAAAGGGUUUCGUUAAGAAAAUCAUUUUAGACAAUAGAGCAAAUCUUUUUCUAAAAAAUGAGCUCCAGGAAUUUAAAUUUAAAGCAAAUUCCAUGGAAGGGCUUGGAAGGCAAGGGGGAUGAGUGCUGCUUUUGAAAAAUUUUAGAUAUUAAUGAUUUAAACUAAAACUAGUCCUAGAAUAUAUUCUGCGAAGAAGCCACUACCAAAAUCCAAUUUUUAAGCAUCAAAAACUGAGUUAGAACUUUCUCUCUGCAACAAGGCUCCAUCCUACUUUGAACUUUUCAAAACCUACUCUUGAAAUAGCAAAAUCUGCUCUUAGCCCACUUGUCAUCCAAAGCCCUCAAUUGAGAUGCAGUGAUUUUAAAAAAAUGACCACAUCUCCUGUUUUUACAUAAAACUAUUUUUAAGACAUAAAAUUAACUACUUAUCUAAUGUAAAAAAGGGAAAGUGCUUUUAAUGAAUCAACGUAUGAUAACUGUUGAGUUUUUCAAUGAUUUUUCUAAGGAACUAAGUGUUUGGUAACUUUCAAAUUGGACACAAGGGUCAAAUUAUAUUAUUGAUCUUCUAAAGUAGGGAAAAAAUUGGAGAGGGUGCCAUCCUACAGAUACCUAUAUGCAACAGUCUUAUUUAUGUUUAUUACUAGGUACUUUAAUGUGCUUAUUUACACUAUCAUCAAGGAGAUCAAUGAGCUUUUUUAAGAUGAACAGGGAAUUCCGACGCCCGCUUUUUUUAGAUAAAAAUAUUGAUAUGAAACUAGACAAGAAAGAGGAUAAACUAGCAAAGCAAUCAGAUAAACUUGUCCUCCCCACCUUCUUGAACACCAAAAGUGGUUAGUAAAUCGAGAGAUAUUUUCACUUCUGAAGGAGAAGCAGUCUGGAAAAUGGAUGAAUUCAGAUUAUUUUGGCCCAUUACGGAAAGUGGUUACCUUCAAGAAGAUAAUGAACCUGAAGAUCGGUGUGUGUUUCCUGAAAGAAUCAUCAAACAAAGUUUUACAGAGGCUGCCAGGCAUCCUGUUAAUGAGGAAAUUUUCAAUAAUGACAUGGAUCCCUCGAUGAUGGACGGACACAAUCCUCUGUCCCCGCCUUUUCCAACACCACCUCCAACCCCUUUGCCUUUGGACCUUCCCAUGAACUAUUCGCCUAAAAGUUUGAAAGAUACUCAAGAAGAAACUGAGGAAUAACAAGUGUGUUGGCAGAAAAUACCAAAAAAUCCAGAGCAAGAAAACAUUGUGUCUCUAGAUAAUGUCAUAGCAAAAGCGUGGGAACCCAUACCUUUGGACAAAGGCAAUUCGAAUCGGCCUUUGGUAAAACGUAGAGUAAACAAGUUGAAUACAAGUAAUUCGUCUAGUUCG